UGCAAGUCGAACGGAAAUAGAGGAGCUUGCUCCUCUUGAUUAGUGGCGAACGGGUGAGUAACACGUGGGCAACCGUGCCCCUGACUCUGGGAUAACUACCUCGAAAGAGUAGCUAAUACCGGAAUAUGAAACCUGAAGACAUCUUCGGGUUGGAAAGUUUUCGGUCAGGGAUGGGCCCGCGGCCUAUCAGCUAGUUGGUGAGGUAGUGGCUCACCAAGGCGACGACGGGUAGCCGGCCUGAGAGGGCGACCGGCCACACUGGGACUGAGACACGGCCCAGACUCC
rnacentral:rRNA from 1 species